UACGAAGGGGGCUAGCGUUGUUCGGAAUUACUGGGCGUAAAGCGUGCGCAGGCGGUGAUGUAAGACAGGUGUGAAAUCCCCGGGCUUAACCUGGGAACUGCAUUUGUGACUGCAUCGCUGGAGUGCGGCAGAGGGGGAUGGAAUUCCGCGUGUAGCAGUGAAAUGCGUAGAUAUGCGGAGGAACACCGAUGGCGAAGGCAAUCCCCUGGGCCUGUACUGACGCUCAUGCACGAAAGCGUGGGGAGCAAACAGG
rnacentral:rRNA from 1 species